UACGGAGGGUGCAAGCGUUAUCCGGAUUUACUGGGUUUAAAGGGUGCGUAGGCGGGCUUUUAAGUCAGCGGUGAAAUCUCCGGGCUCAACUCGGAAAUUGCCGUUGAUACUAUUAGUCUUGAAUUAAGUUGAGGUGGGCGGAAUAAGUCAUGUAGCGGUGAAAUGCUUAGAUAUGACUUAGAACACCGAUUGCGAAGGCAGCUAACUACGCGAAUAUUGACACUGAGGCACGAAAGCGUGGGGAUCAAACAGG
rnacentral:rRNA from 1 species